AACUUCUUAGGAGGGUCCACCUCUUGAAAUCAUAUAGAAGAUGAUUCAAGUGGGUCCUUAGGAAUAGGCUACAAAUGAGCAAUAAUAUGAACAUAAUAACAGAUGAAAGUCAAUAAAAGCGGAUACUGGAUGCCACUCAAUGGUCUUAUACUUGUCUCCUAAAACAAGUAAGGAUAUCAGAAGCCACUCUAUGGACUUACACUAAUCUCCAUCAGAAUAAAACAAAAAAACAAAACAGGGAAGUCAAC
rnacentral:lncRNA from 1 species